GGCCCUAUCGUCUAGCGGCUAGGACGCGGCCCUUUCACGGCCGAAACCCGGGUUCGAUUCCCGGUAGGGUCAUCA
rnacentral:tRNA from 6 species